rnacentral:rRNA from 1 species
UGUUUGAUGUUCUAACGUGGACCCGUGAUCCGGGUUGCGGACAGUGUCUGGUGGGUAGUUUGACUGGGGCGGUCUCCUCCUAAAGAGUAACGGAGGAGCACGAAGGUUGGCUAAUCCUGGUCGGACAUCAGGAGGUUAGUGCAAUGGCAUAAGCCAGCUUGACUGCGAGCGUGACGGCGCGAGCAGGUGCGAAAGCAGGUCAUAGUGAUCCGGUGGUUCUGAAUGGAAGGGCCAUCGCUCAACGGAUAAAAGGUACUCCGGGGAUAACAGGCUGAUACCGCCCAAGAGUUCAUAUCGACGGCGGUGUUUGGCACCUCGAUGUCGGCUCAUCACAUCCUGGGGCUGAAGUAGGUCCCAAGGGUAUGGCUGUUCGCCAUUUAAAGUGGUACGCGAGCUGGGUUUAGAACGUCGUGAGACAGUUCGGUCCCUAUCUGCCGUGGGCGCUGGAGAACUGAGGGGGGCUGCUCCUAGUACGAGAGGACCGGAGUGGACGCAUCACUGGUGUUCGGGUUGUCAUGCCAAUGGCACUGCCCGGUAGCUAAAUGCGGAAGAGAUAAGUGCUGAAAGCAUCUAAGCACGAAACUUGCCCCGAGAUGAGUUCUCCCUGAGACUUAAAGUCUCCUGAAGGAACGUUGAAGACGACGACGUUGAUAGGCCGGGUGUGUAAGCGCA